rnacentral:rRNA from 1 species
UACGUAGGCAGCAAGCGUUGUUCGGAGUUACUGGGCGUAAAGGGUGCGUAGGCGGCUUCUGUAAGUAUGGUGUGAAAUCCGUCCCGGCUUAACGUGGGAGGGUGCGCUAUAGAACUGCGGGGCUCGAGUGUGGGGAGAGGAAAGGUGGAAUUCCUGGUGUAGCGGUGAAAUGCGUGAGAUAUCAGGAGGAACGACCGGUCGGUGGUAGACGGCUUUCUGGACCAUAGCUGGACG